GAAUCUUCCACAAUGGGCGAAAGCCUGAUGGAGCAAUGCCGCGUGGGUGGAGAAGGAUUUUGGUUCGUAAAACCCUGUUUUAAGGGAAGAACAAGUAACCUAGUAACUGGCGAUACCUUGCCGGUACCUUAUUAGAAAGCCACGGCUACCUACGUUCCACCAGCCGCGGUAAGACGUAUGUGGCAAGCGUUGUCCGGAAUUAUUGGGCGUAAAGCGCGCGCAGGUGGUUCUUUAAGUCUGAUGUGAAAGCCCACGGCUCAACCGUGGAGGGUCAUUGGAAACUGGGGAACUUGAGUGCAGAAGAGGAUAGUGGAAUUCCAAGUGUAGCGGUGAAAUGCGUAGAGAUUUGGAGGAACACCAGUGGCGAAGGCGACUAUCUGGUCUGUAACUGACACUGAGGCGCGAAAGCGUGGGGAGCAAACA
rnacentral:rRNA from 1 species